rnacentral:rRNA from 1 species
UAGAGUUUGAUCCUGGCUCAGGAUGAACGCUAGCGGCAGGCCUAACACAUGCAAGUCGAGGGGUAACAGGAAAAAGCUUGCUUUUUUGCUGACGACCGGCGCACGGGUGCGUAACGCGUAUACAAUCUACCUUUAGCUGAGGGAUAGCCCAGAGAAAUUUGGAUUAAUACCUCAUGGUAUCUAUUUAAGGCAUCUUAUAUAGAUUAAAGGUUACGGCUAAAGAUGAGUAUGCGUCCUAUUAGCUAGAUGGUGUGGUAACGGCACACCAUGGCAACGAUAGGUAGGGGCCCUGAGAGGGGGAUCCCCCACACUGGUACUGAGACACGGACCAGACUCCUACGGGAGGCAGCAGUGAGGAAUAUUGGGCAAUGGAGGCAACUCUGACCCAGCCAUGCCGCGUGCAGGAAGACUGCCCUAUGGGUUGUAAACUGCUUUUAUACAGGAAGAAACACUCCCUCGUGAGGGAGCUUGACGGUACUGUAAGAAUAAGGAUCGGCUAACUCCGUGCCAGCAGCCGCGGUAAUACGGAGGAUCCAAGCGUUAUCCGGAAUCAUUGGGUUUAAAGGGUCCGUAGGUGGAUUAAUAAGUCAGAGGUGAAAUCCUGCAGCUCAACUGUAGAACUGCCUUUGAUACUGUUAAUCUUGAGUCAUUAUGAAGUG